rnacentral:rRNA from 1 species
CGACGAAUCUUCCGCAAUGGGCGCAAGCCUGACGGAGCGACGCCGCGUGUGGGAUGAAGCGCCUUCGGCGUGUAAACCACUGUCAGGGGACGGAACCAAUGAUUGUCUCCAAAGGAAGGGGCGACUAACUCUGUGCCAGCAGUCGCGGUAAGACAGAGGCCCCGAGCGUUAAUCGGAAUUACUGGGCUUAAAGGGUGCGUAGGCUGAUCCGAAAGUGCUCCGUGAAAUCCCCCGGCUCAACCGGGGAACAGCGAGGCAUACUGCGGAUCUUGAGGCAGGUAGGCGCCGAGGGAACAGUAGGUGGAGCGGUGAAAUGCGUAGAUAUCUACUGGAACGCCGAUGGUGAAGACGCUCGGCUGGGCCUGUCCUGACGCUGAGGCACGAAAGCGUGGGGAGCAAACAGGAUUAGAUACCCUGGUAGUCCACGCCGUAAACGAUGUACGCUAGAUCGGUGCGGCUCUGACGCCGGAUCGGUCGAAGUAAAAACGAUAA